UGCGUAGGCGGCUUGAUAAGUCAGUGGUGAAAGCCCAGAGCUCAACUUUGGAACUGCCAUUGAUACUGUCAAGCUUGAGUGUAGUUGAAGUAGGCGGAAUGUAGCAUGUAGCGGUGAAAUGCUUAGAUAUGCUACAGAACACCGAUUGCGAAGGCAGCUUACUAAACUAUUACUGACGCUGAGGCACGAAAGCGUGGGGAGCGAACAGGAUUAGAUACCCUGGUAGUCC
rnacentral:rRNA from 1 species